AUUGAACGCUGGCGGCAGGCCUAACACAUGCAAGUCGAGCGAGCGGCGGACGGGUGAGUAAUGUAUGGGGACUGCCUGAUAGAGGGGGAUAGGUACUGGACACGGUUGCUAAUACCGCAUCCUUGAGGAUAACCCAUAUGGGAGUAGCUAGUUGGAAGGGUAAAGGCAGACCUAGGCGACUAUCUCUAGCUGGUCUGAGAGGGUGAUCAGCCACACUGUAACUGAGACACGGCCCAGACUCCUACGGAGGCAGCAGUGGGGAAGAUUGUACAAUGGGCGCAAGCCUGAUACAGCCAUGCCGCGUGUAUGAAGAAGGCCUUAGGAUUGUAAAGUACUUUCAGCGGGGAGGCGUUACCCGCAGAAGAAGCACCGGCUAACUCCGUGCCAGCAGCCGCGGUAAUAC
rnacentral:rRNA from 1 species